rnacentral:tRNA from 1 species
GGUGAGGUGUCUGAGUGGUUGAAGGAGCUCGCCUGGAAAGCGGGUAUAGGUUAACGCCUAUCUAGGGUUCGAAUCCCUAUCUCACCG